AGUGAACGCUGGCGGUAGGCCUAACACAUGCAAGUCGAACGGCAGCACAGUAAGAGCUUGCUCUUACGGGUGGCGAGUGGCGGACGGGUGAGGAAUACAUCGGAAUCUACUUUUUCGUGGGGGAUAACGUAGGGAAACUUACGCUAAUACCGCAUACGACCUACGGGUGAAAGCAGGGGAUCUUCGGACCUUGCGCGAUUGAAUGAGCCGAUGUCGGAUUAGCUAGUUGGCGGGGUAAAGGCCCACCAAGGCGACGAUCCGUAGCUGGUCUGAGAGGAUGAUCAGCGACACUGGAACUGAGACACGGUCCAGACUCCUACGGGAGGCAGCAGUGGGGAAUAUUGGACAAUGGGCGCAAGCCUGAUCCAGCCAUACCGCGUGGGUGAAGAAGGCCUUCGGGUUGUAAAGCCCUUUUGUUGGGAAAGAAAAGCAGCAGGUUAAUACCACGCUGUUCUGACGGUACCCAAAGAAUAAGCACCGGCUAACUUCGUG
rnacentral:rRNA from 1 species